rnacentral:rRNA from 1 species
UCUGACUNGAGUGCAGAAGGGGAGAGUGGAAUUCCAUGUGUAGCGGUGAAAUGCGUAGAUAUAUGGAGGAACACCAGUGGCGAAAGCGGCUCUCUGGUCUGUCACUGACGCUGAGGCUNGAAAGCGUGGGUAGCGAACAGGAUUAGAUACCCUGGUAGUNCACGCCGUAAACGAUGAGUGCUAGGUGUUAGGCCCUUUCCGGGGCUUAGUGCCGGAGCUAACGCAAUAAGCACUCCGCCUGGGGAGUACGACCGCAAGGUUGAAACUCAAAGGAAUUGACGGGGGCCCGCACAAGCGGUGGAGCAUGUGGUUUAAUUCGAAGCAACGCGAAGAACCUUACCAGGUCUUGACAUCCCGAUGCUAUUCUUAGAGAUAGGAAGUUACUUCGGUACAUCGGAGACAGGUGGUGCAUGGUUGUCGUCAGCUCGUGUCGUGAGAUGUUGGGUUAAGUCCCGCAACGAGCGCAACCCUUAUUGUUAGUUGCCAUCAUUAAGUUGGGCACUCUAGCGAGACUGCCGGUAAUAAACCGGAGGAAGGUGGGGAUGACGUCAAAUCAUCAUGCCCCUUAUGACCUGGGCUACACACGUGCUACAAUGGUCGGUACAAUGAGUUGCGAGCCGGUGACGGCAAGCUAAUCUCUGAAAGCCGAUCUCAGUUCGGAUUGGAGGCUGCAACUCGCCUCCAUGAAGUCGGAAUCGCUAGUAAUCGCGGAUCAGCACGCCGCGGUGAAUACGUUCCCGGGCCUUGUACACACCGCCCGUCACACCACGAGAGUUUGUAACACCCGAAGUCGGUGAGGUAACCUUUUAGGGGCCAGCCGCCUAAGGUGGGANGG